GAGGCUGGGAAGUGCCAUUUACCUUUCUGGCGAGGUGCAAGGAAGGACAUGGGGGAGCCCCUCAUACCUCCUUCAGUCAGUGUCACUUCGAACCUCUGCCUCCAAAUUUCUUCCCAGCCUUGCCCACAGCAGAUGCUGCAGCACACAUCUCCUAGUGCAGGACUCAGUAUCAGCUGGUCCCUCUUGGCACAAGAACAUAGAAUCGUAGAAUGUCCUGAGUUGAAAGGGACCCACAAGGAUCAACGAGUCCAAUUCCUGUCCCUGCAUAGGACAACCUCAAAUCCACACCGUGUGUCUGAAGGCAUUGUCCAAAUGCUUCUUGAAUACUGUCAGUGUUGUGGCCAUGACUGCCUCCCUGGGGGUCCUGUUCCAGUGCUUCAGCACCCUCUGGGUGAAGAACCUUUUCCUAAAAUCCAACCUAAACCUCCCCUGGCACAUCUUCCUGCCAUUCCCUCAGGUCCUAUCACUAUAUCACAUAUAUCACAUGUAUCUGUUGUGUGUGAUUAUGACACCUUUGUUCCUGGCAGCACUGUACACUGGCAAAGCGAUGUGGUGCUUCUUAUUAUGGAACUAGAUAUUCCAGUUAUUUGUGGUUCUUCUCAAUGUUUUACAGCCUGGGUAAACUUUGCAUGUCUAGUUGCCUUCUUCAAGAAGUGGCCUUGCAGAAAGCUUCAGCUGAAGUGGUUUGAUUGCUUUAGAUAAAAAGAGGUGAAACAAUUUUUUUGAAGACUCUUAUUUCUUCCUUUAUAGGUUCACCCCUAUCCACAGUGCUUUGGAGGUCAAAAAGUCCUAGACUGUGCAUCCAUGGCUGUCUUGCACAGAAACCACGACAGACCCUGAGUACCUCCAGUAGCAUGUGUUGAAGUGUCUCCUAAUAAACCAUCCCAAGAUGAGCAGACAAGGAACUGCACAGAGUGUCCAAGGCAUGGGCUAAGAGUAACCCCCAUCCAUAUCCGUAAAAAUUCUGUUCUCCAGUAUCUUCUUCACUCCUUCUCUAAUGAUUUCUAACACCAUAUUUGUUUUUUCAGCCUAAGUGGUAUUUAUCCAGGCAAUCACAAAUGCUAUCUGUUGUCACAGGUUUUCUGUAACAAGUGCUGUUCCUGGUUCAUCCAUGGUUCAGAUGACCAUGUCCCAGCUGGUCACUUCGUGGCACAUGGUGUUUAGGAUGGGCUCAUGGCUGCCAUACAUUCUCACUGUUUCAUUACAUUAUCUUGUGAGUUAAAGAUGUAACUUUGCACUGAAAUCCCUUUCCUCAGACAGUGAUUGAAUUUUGUUGAUGUCAUAAAAGGAUUUGUUCCUCUGUUGCUUUCUGUAACACCGAGUAAUUCCCAUUAAACAGUAAGUAAUUGAUUUA